GCUAAAAAGAAAGCACAGGCUAAAGGUCAGUUGUCACGGCAUUUGUGAUCCUAAUUUGGCUGAAUCUAGAACUGGAAAUAUUUCCAAGUUAACAUGAUCACUGGGGCACUAUGAUUUGAGACAGAUGACAAAUGAUCGAGUUCUAAUCCUGGAUCACUUAUUUACUAACAUUGUGACUUUAGGUUCAGCCACUUUUUGUGCUUCCAAGUGUCACUUCUCUCGUCUGCAAAAUGGACAUGGUAUUCUUGUCCUGCCUAUAUCAUAGGACCAUUAAUAAAGGUGAAGAAUUGUAUUGUGACUAGAGAAAGCCUGCUUACUGUUUAAGUGUCCAUGGAAACCAAGAAAGCUGUUCUUAAAUAUAAUAUUCCUUUGCUUAUUCAAAUCUUUUUUCCAUAGGUGCUUCAAAAUAAAUUUUUUCUGCAAUGAUUAUAUUUUGAAUUGGCGAGGCCCAAAAGGGGAAGGAGUGGAGAAGACCUAGAAGUAACAGUGCUCAACUUCUGGACAAGGGUGAUAUGGAGGUCAGGAAAAAAGAUGAUCUAGUCUGUCUCUACUCAUCAAAGCACGGAGUUCUGCAGUGAAGAGCUGUGGCCUUGAGCCUGCCAGAGAACUUUCAGUUCGAUACACCACAAGAUUUAUCCUUCACCAGCUCAGAAGGGACGCAAGAAUGAGCCAUUUCCAAAUGUGGAAAGAGCACUUUUCCUUUCUUAUUCUUUGGAGACCAUAUUUGUUAUAUAAACAGCCUCACUGAAAACUCCCUGUAAAAUUAUUCUGCGUUCCUUUUAAGAGAAAUUUUACCUCUACCAAUCAACACACAGUUGCCUCAUAGGUAACCCUGGCCAUUGGAAAACUCCAGGGUAAAAUGAACCAUAAAUUAAGUUGGAGCCUGGCAGAGCACGAUAUUAAUUUGCCUGAUUCAUAAAUAACUCUGUAGAAACUAAAAGGGAUUUUGACUUUAGUUUUCCUUUUUCCCUACUAGUUAACACUCCUGAGGAGAUUUAUAAAAUACAUUUCUCUUGUGCCCUCUUUAGGGCCAGUCCAAGGUGCAUAUAACUUUAGGUGCUGGUGAUUAUUUAUUUUUUUUUACGAAAAGUCACAUCUCAAUUCCUUCAAAAUAAACUUUUGGGCAAAUUUACAUUAUACAGCUUUUCAGAAAUAAAACUAUUACGUAAUAAAAGGCACACAUGCACUGAUUUUUCUCUGAGAUAUGCAAAGGGCUUUUGUAAAGUAGCCACUAACUACUAGGUUAGGCCCAAAACUCAAAAGUUUAGUCAGCCAAGCAGUUAAUAUGAAAAGCAAAUCAAUGCAAGUUUUUUGUUUCAUUGAAAGAGAUAGUGGGAUCACAAACAGUUUCCAUUCUAAACGGUCUAUCCUUUAUGGGAAGAAAAAUUAAGUUUACCAAAUAAAAACAAAUUAUGCAUCAAAGUUAAUUUUUUCAAAACUAAUUUAAAGGGCUAGGUCUUUGAUAUAUUCUGUGGCACUGGAAUGAAAAAUAGCUUUUGAUGUCUUGAUGUCUUUUUUUUUAAAUAUAAGGAGGAGUUGUGGUAAAAGGUCAACUAGAGCAAACUUAACACCUCAGCCUUAUACACAUAAGCAACACUUGGCUGAGAAAAAAAGCCACAAGGGGAAAAGAAUACAGUACGGAAGAAAAAACACAUCAGCAACACCUUUAUGUGUGAAGUUGACCAGUAUGAGAAUGAAGCCAAAGCAGAGAAUAGGUAGGCUGUGAACAUACUAUAUAUACUUUGGCUUAUCAAAAUCAUCUGAUGAGAUUUCGAUAAGAAACGAUAGCCAGUUGCUCUUCAAGCUGUUUGGCUGGAAUCAGUGGUUUCCAGCAAACAUUAACUUGCCUUUCUUGACUGUAGUUGGGGUUUUCAGUUUUCUUAGUAGUUCAGCUUGUACUUGAGUCACCAAAUGUAAAUUAGACAUCUCUCUCUUCAGUUCCCAGUAUGCAUUUUGCAUAUUGUCGCUGAAAUGCAAGUUUAAAAAAAAAGUUAAUGGUUAUUUUCCUUACGGACAGAAAGGAGUGACUUGAAAAUAGAAAUGAGCAUUCCUGCUCUAGUUUUGAUAUAAAUUAAACAAAACUUCCUCAUUAAAUAAUUGACAUACAAUUAGGGCAUUAGAACAAGUGAAAAGAUCUUAUUCAAUAAUAAUAUUGACCUAGUUUCUAGCCAUUAACUGAACUGUAUUAAACAAAAGGGUAUUUACCAAAAAAGAAGUAUUAUCACCAAGUUUCUUAUAGUUCUCAGAAUUGAGGUUUUUAUUAUAGCCCAUAAUGUGCAGUGGUGUUACUAUCAUACUUUUAGAAUAAGGAGUAUUUUCUUCAUUUGCAAAUCUGAUACAGAAAAAUAGUGACAUUUAUUCAUGUAUAGAGUUUUAAUUUGUAUUUAUCUCUUGAUUAUUCGGUUUUGACGUUGUGAAUUGAAAUGUGUAUCCCCAAACCCACAUUAAAAUAAAAUUUAGGUUUCAUGCA